UACGAAGGGGGCUAGCGUUGCUCGGAGUCACUGGGCGUAAAGGGUGCGUAGGCGGGUCUUUAAGUCAGGGGUGAAAUCCUGGAGCUCAACUCCAGAACUGCCUUUGAUACUGAGGAUCUUGAGUUCGGGAGAGGUGAGUGGAACUGCGAGUGUAGAGGUGAAAUUCGUAGAUAUUCGCAAGAACACCAGUGGCGAAGGCGGCUCACUGGCCCGGAACUGACGCUGAGGUGCGAAAGCGUGGGGAGCAAACAGG
rnacentral:rRNA from 1 species